rnacentral:lncRNA from 1 species
UUCCAUGGAAUGCAUCACAUCACAACUAAUCACAUCAAGGAUGAACUUGUCACCACUUAGCCCUCUACAUAUUCCAAUCUUGCCAAGGGCGUAGUGCAGGCCACACCUGGUCUUCCUCUUAUACAUAACAUAUCAUACAUGACCAACUAUGCCGGGGGCGUAGUGCAGGCCACACCCGGUCUUUCUCUUACAUAGUGCCAGGGGCGUAGUGCAGGCCACACCUGGACUUCCAUAUCAUAUCAUCAUGUCAUAGCAUAUGAGGGCUAAUGGAUCAUUCAACAUUCAUCCACAUCAACAACAUAUUAUGCAAUGCAACAUAUUCGUGAAUUCUAAUGCAAACACCCUAAUACAUCUUAUGGCAUUCAUGAUGCGUGAAUCAUGCUAAACUUUUAUUUAAUUUCUCAAUUUAAAACGUUAAGUUUAGUUCCACUCACCUCUGGCUGAAGCUCUAAUGACUUUGAAGCAGCUAUCUCACUGCUGGGGUCCUCGGUUCCUCGGGUCCGAAUCUACACAGGUGGACUCAAAUGAGGGACCAAACAUUCGUGAACAUGACUCUAAAAUACUCCCCAAAAACCCCCUAAAACACCUUGAAACAAUCACAUAAAUCAUACAAAGGAGGGCUGAACAGGGCACUUUCGGCGGCAGGUUCGGCGGCCGAAAGGCCCUCCAGAGCCGAAAGUCAUGCACCUUCGGCGGCACUUUCGGCGGCCGAAGGUUCCCUCCAAAGACGAAACUCAUGCAUGUUCGGCGGCACCUUCGGCAGCCGAAAGUCCCUUCCAGAGCCAAAAGUCAUCUUUCAGGGGCAGGGUUUGGCAGCCGAUUCAUGCUACCACAGGCAGGUUCGGCAGCCGAAAGAACCUUCGGCUGCCGAACCUGGUUUCUCCCUAAAGGGCAGAAACUCAGCUCUAACAUGCACAAACGCCUCCCAACACAUUCAAUCAUGCAUUCUCCUAUUCCACAACAAGCAUACUCAAGCAUACAAGCUCCUAGGGGCUUCAAACUAUCCUAAACCCCAUUUACAACACAUCAAACAACCCACAUUGCUCAUAAACAUACAUAAACUCAUAAACAUAACCAUAACCUAUCAUGCAUUUCUACCCCAUAGAUCUUCAUAAAACUAGUUUAAAACAUGCAAGAAAGGUUGGAUCUAAGCUUACCUCUUGAAGAUCGAGAGGAAAGACGAUCCUAGCUUGGAGGUAGGGAGAAAUCCACUCUUUGGUCUCCAAGCUUCCAAACUUGCUCUUUUUGCUCAAAUCUCUUAAAAUCAAUAUAAAGCUUGUUAAAACAUGAAAGAUCGGAGGAAAAACAUCAAAAACAAACCAAAGGAGAGUAUGAACUCACCGUGGCCGAAAAUGGGGAGAAAACUCGCCCGUUUCGGCCAUGGAGCUCUUAUAUAGGGCUGGCAGACCACCUUUCGGCAGCCGAACGUGCCCCCACAUCUCAUGCAAGUUCGGCGGCCGAACAUGAGGUUCGACGGCCGAACCUUUGAGAUUUUCGGAAGCCUAAUUUGCCUCCCUAAACCAUCCAAUGUUCGGCGGCCGAACUUGAGGUUCGGCGGCCGAGCCUGGAAAUGUCUCCUUGGUCUUUUUCAUUUAAAACUCAAUCUCCUUUUUGUUUAAAACCGUAAAAUACAUUAAAACAUUUAUGAAAACAUGAUUUUACCCUUCUAGAGGUUUCCGACAUCCGAGAUUCCACCGGACGGUAGGCCCCUGAAAGCAUAAGUGAGGGAAGUCCAGGUUCGGCCGCCGAACCUUAUGUUCGGCCGCCGAACAUGGCAUGCAUGCGGAGGCACGUUAGGUCCCCGAAAGUGGCCUGGCCAGCCACCUAUAAAAGGGUCUCCUUGUCCGAAUGGGCGAGCUUUUCUCCCCGUUUUUGGCCAAGGUGAGUUCUUCGCCGUCCCUCAUCGAUUUUGAGCUUCUUCCUUCGAAUCUUCAUGAUUUUCUUAUGGUUUGAAGAUCUUUGAGCAAAAGAGCAAGUUUGGAAGCUUGAAGACCAAAGAGUGGAUUUCUCCCUACCUCCAAGCUAGGAUCGUCUUUCCUCUCGAUUUUCAAGAGGUAAGCUUAGAUCCAACCUUUCUUGCAUAUUUUAAACAAGUUUUAUGAAGAUCUAUGGGGUAGAAAUGCAUGUUAGGUUAUUGUUAUGUUUAUGGGUUUAUGUAUGAACAAUGUGGGUUGUUUGAUGUGUUGUAGUUGGGGUUUAGGAUAGUUUGAAGCCCCUACGAGCUUGUAUGCUUGAGUAUGCAUGUUGUAGAAUAGGAAAAUGCAUGAUUGAGUGAGUUGAGAGGCAUUUGUGCAUGUUGGAGCCGGGUUUCUGCCCUUUGGGAGAAAUCAGGUUCGGCAGCCGAACCUGCGUUUGGAGGCAACUUUCAGCUGCCCAAGCCUGCCCCCGAAAGUAGACUUUCAUCUCUGGAGGGGACUUUCGGCCGCCGAAGGUGCCGCCAAACAUGCAUGAGUUUCGUCUCUGGAGGGAACCUUUGGCCGCCGAAAGUGCCGCCGAAGGUGCAUGACUUUCGGCUCUGGAGGGACUUUCGGCCGCCGAACCUGCCGCCAAAAGUGCCCUGUUCAGCCCUUAUUUGCAUGAAUUCCUUGAUUGUUUUAAGGUGUUUUAGGGGGUUUUUGGGGGAUGUUUUUAGAGUUAUGUUUAUGUAUGUUAGGUCCCUCAUUUGAGUCCACCUGUGUAGGUUCGGACCCGAGAAACCGAGGACCCCAGCAGUGAGUUCAGCUGCUUCGGUGUUUGUCAGAGUCAGCCAGAGGUGAGUGGAACUAAACUUAAUCUUUUAAAUUGAGAAAUUAAAUAUUUUUAUCAUGCUUCAUGUAUCAUGAUUAUGCAAUAGGAUGAUUGCAUUAGACUUCACGAAUAUGUUGCAUCACAUUCUUUGUUGUUGAUGUGGGUGAAUGUUGGAUGACCCAAUUAGUCUCUGAGGAAAGACCAGGACCCCAUUCUACGGCCUGGCACGGAAAUGAAAGACCAGGACCCCAUUCUACGAUCUGGUACGGAUAUGGGACUCGAAGACCAGGUACCCAGAGGAGGGCUUGGGGCAAUGGUAAGUAAUGUAUGAUAUGACAGGAAGACCAGGACCCCAUGCUACGGCCUGGCACGAAAUGAUGCUGGGACUAUUUGGUGACAAGUUCACCCAACCCUUGAUGUGAAUUGUCUGAGUUAUGAUGCAUUUCAUGUGAGCAUGUUUGUUAACAUGUUUUUAUGGUUCUACUCACUGGGCUUGUUAGCUCACCCCUCUCCCUUAACCCCCAGGUUUGCAGGUACAGGAUAGAGCAGGAGGUCGGAUAGAGUAAAGUCUUAGUCAUGUAAUAGCUCGUAGUGGACAUGAUGGAUAUUGUAAUGUAAUGUUGAGUUAUGUAAUGUAAUGAUGAUAUUGAGGUUUAGAAGUGUGCUUGACCAUAGUACGUUGUAAAUCCCUUUUUAGAUACAUGAUCUUAAAUGUUUAUGGAUGAUUAUGUUUAACCAAACUUAAUGCAUGAUUAUGUCACUCCAUUGGAGCAUUGAUGAGGACUCCAAGGUGGGGUUAAUGUUAAUGUCUAUGUUAAUGCAUGCACAGGUUGAGUUUGGUUCAUGAAUGAAAAAGAAAAGUUCAAUUUUUUUAUGUAUGUUGUUGAUCAUGUAUGGGAUUAAACAGGUAUUCAGGAUGUAUGUUUGGCUUGCUACGGGUCCCGGCGGCCUUAAGCCGAUCUGGAUCCUAGCGCCGAUAGCGGUCCGAUUUUCGGGUCGUUACAUAGGGUACUGUGGGUAGAAAGGUGGGUAUGGCAUCUGAGAGUGAUAAGGGUUGAAACUGGGGUAAUCCGAUGUACCUCCCAUCGAAUACCCGGGAUUAUGUGAAAAUGGUGGGUAGUAUGGUGGCUGAACAAAUCCCGAGGCCUGAGUGCCUCCUUGGGACUCUCCCAUUCCCUCUUCCGACAUACUUACUCCGAGACUGCCAUCCCUCCUCUGAUCCAUAUCCAUCUGAUCCCCCACAUCCUCUGACACAUCUCCUUGCACUGUUCCCCUCACUGAUCUGUGCCGGAAAGCGUACUGUUCCAUGUGAAAAGGGUACUGUUCCCCUCACUAUACAUAAUCAUAAUCAUCAACCCACACUGGAGUCCUCAACAAUGCUCCAAUGGGGUAACAUAACAUACAUUGAGUUUGGUUCAACAUAAACCUUUAUUAAAAUCAUGUAAACAAAGGGAUUAACUUACAACUAGGGUCAAGCACAUCUCUAAACCUCAACAUCAUCAUUACGUUACAUAACUGUACUAAACAUAAUAUAUUAACAUUUUUCAUGUCCACACUAGCUAUUACAUGACCAUAACUUCAUUACUCUUGCUGACCUCCUAGUCUACCCUGUACCCGCAAACCUGGGGGUUAAGGGAGAGGGGUGAGCUACUAGAGCCCAGUGAGCAGAAUAAUAAAACAUUUAUAUUAAAGGUUCAUGCUUCCAUGGAAUGCAUCACAUCACAACUAAUCACAUCAAGGAUGAACUUGUCACCACUUAGCCCUCUACAUAUUCCAAUCGUGCCAGGGGCGUAGUGCAGGCCACACCUGGUCUUCCUCUUAUACAUAACAUAUCAUACAUGACCAACUGUGCCGGGGGCGUAGUGCAGGCCACACCCGGUCUUUCUCUUAUAUAGUGCCAGGGGCGUACUGCAGGUCACACCUGGACUUCCAUAUCAUAUCAUCAUGUCAUAGCAUAUGAGGGCUAAUGGAUCAUUCAACAUUCAUCCACAUCAACAACAUAUUAUGCAAUGCAACAUAUUCGUGAAUUCUAAUGCAAACACCCUAAUACAUCUCAUGGCAUUCAUGAUGCGUGAAUCAUGCUAAACUUUUAUUUAAUUUCUCAAUUUAAAACUUUAAGUUUAGUUCCACUCAC